ACAACAUUGAAAUCGUCGUUCUACCGAGUAAUAUCACACGCUUGGUGGAAGAUCUUUCUUUCGUCGU
rnacentral:pre_miRNA from 1 species